ensembl:snRNA U4 U4 spliceosomal RNA
AGCUUUGCGCAGUGGCAGUAUCGUAGCCAAUGAGGUUUAUCCGAGGCACGAUUAUUGCUAAUAGAAAAUUUGGAGGGAAACGAUUAUGACCUAAGAAUCCUAGAGUUAGUCAAGUUAUGGUUGAAAUAUAAAAUC